CCUACGGGAGGCAGCAGUGGGGAAUAUUGCACAAUGGGGGGACCCCUGAUGCAGCAACGCCGCGUGGGUGAAGAAGUAAUUCGGUAUGUAAAGCCCUGUCAGCAGGGAAGAAAAUGACGGUACCUGAGCAAGAAGCCCCGGCUAACUACGUGCCAGCAGCCGCGGUAAUACGUAGGGGGCAAGCGUUAUCCGGAUUUACUGGGUGUAAAGGGAGCGUAGACGGCAAGGCAAGUCUGGAGUGAAAGCCUGUGGCUCAACCCCCGGACUGCUUUGGAAACUGUGUUGCUGGAGUGCAGGAGGGGUAAGCGGAAUUCCUAGUGUAGCGGUGAAAUGCGUAGAUAUUAGGAGGAACACCAGUGGCGAAGGCGGCUUACUGGACUGUAACUGACGUUGAGGCUCGAAGGCGUGGGGAGCAAACAGGAUUAGAUACCCGGGUAGUC
rnacentral:rRNA from 1 species